GAUGAACGCUAGCUACGGGCUUAACACAUGCAAGUCGAGGGGUAACGAGAGGAAAGCUUGCUUUCCUUGUCGACGACCGGCGCACGGGUGAGUAACGCGUAUCCAACCUGCCCCCAACUAGGGAAUAACCUUGCGAAAGUAAGACUAAUACCCUAUAAUUUCCUCAGAUGUCAUCUGACGAGGAAUAAAGAUUUAUCGGUUGUGGAUGGGGAUGCGUCUGAUUAGCUUGUUGGCGGGGUAACGGCCCACCAAGGCAACAAUCAGUAGGGGUUCUGAGAGGAAGGUCCCCCACAUUGGAACUGAGACACGGUCCAAACUCCUACGGGAGGCAGCAGUGAGGAAUAUUGGUCAAUGGGCGGAAGCCUGAACCAGCCAAGUAGCGUGCAGGAUGACGGCCCUAUGGGUUGUAAGCUGCUUUUAUACAGGAAUAAAGUUAGCCACGUGUGGUUAUUUGUAGGUACUGUAUGAAUAAGGACCGGCUAAUUCCGUGCCAGCCGCCGCCGUAA
rnacentral:rRNA from 1 species